rnacentral:rRNA from 1 species
AUGAACGAGGGGGAUGGAGCUAUGUUAUUAUCGAAUCGUUUUUUUUAUUCGCUUUAUUAUUAUCUCACCCACCCCGCCUCCCUCUCACUAACAGGUGGGCCCUCACUGACAGAGCCCUCUCCAGCGCCUCUCGCUCCCUCUCUCUCACGCGAGUCACCAACAGAAGAGCGGCGGCGGCGAGGUGCUGCCCCUCUCCUCUCUCUCUCCAUCUCUUCCCCUUGUGGCUGCUCUGCCCCGUCUCUCUCGGACGUCCUCAUGGGUGGCCGACGGCGGCGGGGCGGCGGAUGCCCUCUCUCCCUGCUCUGGUUCCCCCUCUCUCCCCUGAUCUGUUUUUCCUCUCUGGGCUGCAGCGCAAAAGAGGACAGGGACGAGCGGCAGGUCGGCGACCAGCAGCACCUCUCUCUUCUUCGUUGGUGGUUUGCCCCCCAGGUUGGAAGGAUGAGGAAGGGACUACAUCCUCAGAUGCAGUGGAUCUCAUACGUGACGCAGAGCGGCAGGCUGAUCAACAUCAUGAUGACCAAGGUGAACCACACCGGCAAAGUGUACCACAUGAGGGCGAAGCGGCAGAUGGCUCAGAGCCUGGGGCAGAUCGCCAAGUUCAAACGCCGAUACGAGCAGGACGCGCCGGAGGAGAACCAAGACAAGUAG